rnacentral:lncRNA from 1 species
CAAAAUAUUUCAUUCACUUGAACAACUUUAUAGCAAUUGUUUUCUCUUCUCCUUCCUCUUUUUAUUCAUUUUUUUGAAGGAGUAUGUAUUGACAUGUAUUGAAAUAUUACAAACACAAUUCCUUUUUUUUCUUCCUCUUAGCCUUCUAUUUUUUUCUUCCUCUUAGCCUUCUAUUUUUUUCUUCCUCUUAUCCUUCUAUUUCUUCAUUCUUUUUUUUUCUAUUUUCUUUUUCUAUUUUUUUCUUUUUUUGCCAAC